UUGCAUUUGAAACUGGAAAACUAGAGUGUGUGAGAGGGGGGGUAGAAUUCCAAGUGUAGCGGUGAAAUGCGUAGAGAUUGGGAGGAAUACCAGUGGCGAAGGCGGCCCCCUGGCACAACACUGACGCUCAGGUGCGAAAGCGUGGGGAGCAAACAGGAUUAGAUACCCUGGUAGUCCACGCCGUAAACGAUGUCUACUAGCUGUUCGUGACCUUGUGUCGUGAGUAGCGCAGCUAACGCACUAAGUAGACCGCCUGGGGAGUACGGUCGCAAGAUUAAAACUCAAAUGAAUUGACGGGGGCCCGCACAAGCGGUGGAGCAUGUGGUUUAAUUCGACGCAACGCGAAGAACCUUACCUACUCUUGACAUCCAGAGAAGACUGCAGAGAUGCGGUUGUGCCUUCGGGAACUCUGAGACAGGUGCUGCAUGGCUGUCGUCAGCUCGUGUUGUGAAAUGUUGGGUUAAGUCCCGCAACGAGCGCAACCCUUAUCCUUAGUUGCCAGCGCGUAAUGGCGGGAACUCUAGGGAGACUGCCGGUGAUAAACCGGAGGAAGGUGGGGACGACGUCAAGUCAUCAUGGCCCUUACGAGUAGGGCUACACACGUGCUACAAUGGUAUGUACAGAGGGAGGCAAGCUGGCGACAGUGAGCGGAUCUCUUAAAGCAUAUCGUAGUCCGGAUCGCAGUCUGCAACUCGACUGCGUGAAGUCGGAAUCGCUAGUAAUCGCAAAUCAGAAUGUUGCGGUGAAUACGUUCCCGGGCCUUGUACACACCGCCCGUCACACCAUGGGAGUGGGUUGCAAAAGAAGUAGGUAGCUUAACCUUCGGGAGGGCGCUUACCACUUUGUGAUUCAUGACUGGGGUGAAGUCGUAACAAGGUAACC
rnacentral:rRNA from 1 species